AUACGUAGGGGACGAGCGUUGUCCGGAAUUACUGGGCGUAAAGGGCGCGCAGGCGGGGAUGCAAGUUGGAUGUGAAAUACCGCAGCUUAACUGCGGAGCUGCAUCCAAAACUGUAUUUCUUGAGUGAAGUAGAGGUAGGCGGAAUUCCUAGUGUAGCGGUGAAAUGCGUAGAUACUAGGAGGAACACCAGUGGCGAAGGCGGCCUACUGGGCUUUAACUGACGCUGAGGCUCGAAAGUGUGGGGAGCAAACAGGAUUAGAUACCCUGGUAGUCCACACUGUAAACGAUGAUUGCUAGGUGUGGGGUGACUGACCCCUUCCGUGCCGGAGUAAACACAAUAAGCAAUCCACCUGGGGAGUACGACCGCAAGGUUGAAACUCAAAUGAAUUGUCGGGG
rnacentral:rRNA from 1 species